rnacentral:rRNA from 1 species
AACGAACGCUGGCGGCAUGCCUAACACAUGCAAGUCGAACGAGACCUUCGGGUCUAGUGGCGCACGCGUGCGUAACGCGUGGGAACCUGCCCUUAGGUUCGGAAUAACUCCCCGACAGGGGUGCUAAUACCGGAUAAUGUCUUCGGACCAAAGAUUUAUCGCCUUUGGAUGGGCCCGCGUUGGUUUAGCUUGUUGGUAGGGUAAAAGCCUACCAAGGCGACGAUCCAUAGCUGGUCUGAGAGGAUGAUCAGCCACACUGGGACUGAGACACGGCCCAGACUCCUACGGGAGGCAGCAGUGGGGAAUAUUGGACAAUGGGCGAAAGCCUGAUCCAGCAAUGCCGCGUGAGUGAUGAAGGCCUUAGGGUUGUAAAGCUCUUUUACCCGGGAUGAUAAUGACAGUACCGGGAGAAUAAGCUCCGGCUAACUCCGUG